CAGCCGUAAACUAUGCGCGUUAGGUGUAUCGGUGACCACGAGUCACCGGGGUGCCGAAGGGAAACCGUGAAACGUGCCGCCUGGGAAGUACGGUCGCAAGGCUGAAACUUAAAGGAAUUGGCGGGGGGAGCACCACAACGGGUGGAGCCUGCGGUUUAAUUGGACUCAACGCCGGAAAUCUCACCGGAUAGGACAGACAUAUGAUAGUCGGGCUGAAGACUCUACUUGAUGAUCUGAGAGGUGGUGCAUGGCGUCAGUGACU
rnacentral:rRNA from 1 species